UGAGGGCACAGAUGUUAGCCCCAGAUGCAUGCAAACUUUAAACCCUGUAGCUAAAAAUCAUAUUACGGCACAACGGAAAGAAAGCUUCAUGAAUCUUCAUCCAAACUACAUCAAUAAACAUGAUUAAAUUAAUUGUGAACAUG